CUGGCCCUGAAUCAACGCCAGCAGCUUCCUGAUGCUGUUGGUUUCAAGCAAGAGCCUAAAGAGAUGUCUUUCUAUGGUCUGUUGGCCAUUUCAGAACUUGGGCAGUGAAAUGGUCAAUUCAUUAGAAAGAAACAGCU
ensembl:snoRNA small nucleolar RNA SNORA2/SNORA34 family